CCUACGGGAGGCAGCAGUGGGGAAUAUUGGACAAUGGGGGAAACCCUGAUCCAGCGACGCCGCGUGAGUGAAGAAGGAAUUCGUUACGUAAAGCUCUAUCAGCAGGGAAGAAAAUGACGGUACCUGAGUAAGACGCACCGGCUAACGACGUACCAGAAGCCGCGGUAAUACGCAGGGGGCAAGCGUUAUCCGGAUUUACUGGGUGUAAAGGGAGUGUAGACGGUGCGGCAAGUCUGGAGUGAAAGGCCGGAGCUUAACUGCGGAACUGCUUUGGAAACUGGCGAACUAGAGUGCGGGAGGGGUAAGCGGAAUUCCUAGUGUAGCGGUGAAAUGCGUAGAUAUUAGGAGGAACACCGGUGGCGAAGGCGGCUUACUGGACCGUAACUGACGUUGAGGCUCGAAAGCGUGGGGAGCAAACAGGAUUAGAUACCCUGGUAGUC
rnacentral:rRNA from 1 species